rnacentral:rRNA from 1 species
UACGGUAGGGGGGCAAGCGUUGUCCGGAUUUAUUGGGCGUAAAGAGCGUGUAGGCGGCCAGGUAGGUCUGCUGUGAAAACUCGAGGCUCAACCUCGAGACGUCGGCGGAAACCAUCUGGCUAGAGUCCGGAAGAGGAGAGUGGAAUUCCUGGUGUAGCGGUGAAAUGCGCAGAUAUCAGGAAGAACACCAAUGGCGAAGGCAGCUCUCUGGGACGGUACUGACACUGAGACGCGAAAGCGUGGGGAGCGAACAGG